rnacentral:lncRNA from 1 species
AUAUUACAAAAGGAAAGAAAAAAAAAUCUGUUAAAUAGUUCUUAUGUGUUUAAAUGAACAUAGGGCAGGGAUAGGCAACCUUCAGCACUCCAGAUGUUGUGAACUACAUCCCCCAAUAAUACUCUUACACCCAUAAUGCUGGCAAAGCAUCAUGGAAGGUUUAGUCCAAAACAUCUGGAGUGGUGAAGGUUGCCUAUGCCUGCUAUAGGGUAAGGAACACAAACAUGUAUUCCUGACCCUAUAGUGUUAAAACCACCAUCUAGCCCCCCAAUUUCUCUGAAACUGCUAUGUUUACAGCUGCAGGGUUAACACUAGAGGGACAUGGCACCCAGACCACUUCAUUGAGCUGAAGUGGUCUGGGUGCCUAUAGUGGUCCUUUAAAUGGACACUAUAGUCACCAAAACAACAUUAGCUUAACAAAGCAGUUUUGGUGUAUAUACACUAUAGUCCCAAGAACAAUUGUAGUUUACAUUUAGUUUUGGAGUAUUUAUCAUGCCCGUGCAGUCAGACUGCUCAAUUUUCUGCCAUGCAGGAGAUAAAUCACUUUUGUAACUGAUUAGGCAGCCCUAGCCACACCUCCCUUGGCUGUGACUGACCCAGCCUGCAUGAAAAAAAGUGUUUCAUUUUCAAUCAGAUGUAAGUUUUUAUCUCCAGCUCUGCACACUGAACUUUAAAGGGACACUGUAGGCACUCAGACCACUUCAGCUCAUUGAAGUGGUCUGGGUGCAAUGUCCCAAGUCCCUUAACCCUACAGUGGUAAUUAUUGCAGUUUCUGAGAAACUGAACUAAUCACUUGCUAGACUUAACUCUUCCUCUAGUGGCUGCCACUAGAGGGACUUCCGGGUGCUUAGAUGACUUCUAAUGCUAUGCAUGAGGAAUUCAGCGUCACCGGAAUUCCCAUAGGAAAGCAUUAAAUAAUGAUUUUCUAUGGGGAAAUCCUAAUGUGAGCGCGGCCAUUGCCACGCAUGCGCAUUAGGUCUCCUCCACCAGCUGAUGUCCGUGGGGGAGGAGCAUGGGCGGAGCCUGACCCAGCACCGAGGGACAUCAGUCCUGGAUUCGGGUAAGUGAUUGAAGGGGUUUUAACCCAUUCAGCACCAUGGGAUGGGUGGCGAGAGGGAGGUGGGCACUGUAGGAUUCUUUAGCGCCAGGAAAACGGCUUUGUUUUCCUGGCACUAGAGAAUCCCUUUCAUCACACACAGGAGGCUCCUGCAGGGUCUAAAGGACUAUUAACAGAGCAAGAGAUAAAAAAAUUCUAAAUGAAACAGAAUUUGCAAUAAAGGAAGUAUAAACAUUAGAUGACUCUUUACAGGAAGUGUUUAGGAAAGCUGUGCAAGUCACAUGCAAAGAGAUGUGACAACGGCUGCAUUAACAAAAUGAUUUAACUCCUAAGUGGCAGAAAAUUGAGCAGUGAGACUGCAGUGGCAACAGCUUUACUCCAAAACAUACUUAAACUACAAUUGUUCUGGGGACUAUAGUGUCCCUUUGAAAAAUAAAGAAUCUUACUUAUAAAUGUAUGUUAAAAAUGUAUUAGCCAUAGUGAUGUCCCGAACGGUUCACCGAACGGUUUGCCACGAC